CACAAGCUGUUAAAUGUUACAUUCAUACAUAUUAUAUGAUAUUAUUGAUAUUAGUCUUUUAUUUUAUAAAUAAAAAUGCAAUUUCAAUUCCCAAUCACUUGUAGCCCUACUGAGAUAUGACUACUGGCAAUGCGAGACAUGAGAGUUUGUAGAGAUCAGUGUUGUGUUUUGAAUUUUGUUUGUACACGAGAGAGCACUAAGUUUAGCUGUCGGAGAGCAGUGGGCAAACAACAAACGAUAAAGGACAUUCCUACUUGGUCUUGUAAGUAGCCUAUCUUUGUUUUUGUUUUUAUGUGUUCAUUAUUUAUCUAUAUCAUUUGUUAUCAUGUUUAGGAACCGUGACAUUUUAGUGAAGGGAGCAGAUUGUAGUUGAUAGUGAUCCGUGACUAACUUAGGCCCACGGUUCAGCAUGCAUGUGUUCAGAGGAUUAAUUGCAAAAUUUAGUAAAAGUUUUAUUAUUUGUACUGUUUACAAACUCAAGCUAUUCUAAAACAGUGCAAGAAGAGGCGAAAGAGCAAACAGCAGAACAAACACAGCUUUGACAAAGAUUAAUCCAUAUUAAUUUAUACAGUGGACACAGAAGAAUUGGAGAAACUGAGCAGGAGUUUCAAAUUCUGGAAACUGAGAAGAUGGUGAAUAAGGCAGCAAUGGUGUCAAAGUUGUGCAGAAUUGAAGGAAGAAACUUCAAAGACAGUGCCAGAAGGAUGCUGGACAGAUGCUGUGAUGACCAACUUCCCGGCAGCAGAGUUGGACUUAAGGAAUGCAGCUGGGAAGCAUUUUAAACAAGAAAUAAAACCAAUAACUAAUAAUUUCCUUUAAGUUCACUGUUGGCUGUUUUAUUUGUUAAAAUAAGUAAACCAUGUUUUAAGUUUCAUUCAUUUAUCCAUAAUGUUAAGUGUGAUAACAUGCUCUUGAUUUGUAUUAGAUUUUUUUUUUCUUUUAAAUAUCUUAUUUAAAAUGUAUUUAUUUUUUAUUUUUUGAUAUUUUUAUUAUCUUAAGUUGUUAAAAAUUCCUUUUUUUAAAUCAUAUUUAUA